rnacentral:rRNA from 1 species
GGGUUGUGAGGUUAAGCGACCAAGCGUACACGGUGGAUGCCCUGGCAGUCAGAGGCGAUGAAGGACGUGCUAAUCUGCGAAAAGCGCCGGUAAGGUGAUAUGAACCGUUAUAACCGGCGAUGUCCGAAUGGGGAAACCCAGUGUGACUCGUCACACUAUCAUUAACUGAAUCCAUAGGUUAAUGAGGCGAACCGGGGGAACUGAAACAUCUAAGUACCCCGAGGAAAAGAAAUCAACCGAGAUUCCCCCAGUAGCGGCGAGCGAACGGGGAGGAGCCCAGAGCCUGAAUCAGCAUGUGUGUUAGUGGAAGCGUCUGGAAAGGCGCGCGAUACAGGGUGAGAGCCCCGUACACAAAAGCGCACAUGCUGUGAGCUCGAUGAGUAGGGCGGGACACGUGGUAUCCUGUCUGAAUAUGGGGGGACCAUCCUCCAAGGCUAAAUACUCCUGACUGACCGAUAGUGAACCAGUACCGUGAGGGAAAGGCGAAAAGAACCCCGGCGAGGGGAGUGAAACAGAACCUGAAACCGUGUACGUACAAGCAGUGGGAGCCCCACC